GGAAACGACUGCUAAUACCGCAUAAGCGCACAGGAUCGCAUGAUCUGGNGUAGAAAAACUCCGGUGGUAUGAGAUCGGACCCGCGUCUGAUUAGCCAGUUGGCAGGGUAACGGCCUACCAAAGCGACGAUCAGUAGCCGACCUGAGAGGGUGACCGGCCACAUUGGGACUGAGACACGGCCCAAACUCCUACGGGGAGGCAGCAGGUGGGGAAUAUUGCACAAUGGGGGAAACCCUGAUGCAGCGACGCCGCGUGAGCGAAGAAGUAUUUCGGUAUGUAAAGCUCUAUCAGCAGGGAAGAAGAAUGACGGUACCUGACUAAGAAGCACCGGCUAAAUACGUG
rnacentral:rRNA from 1 species